rnacentral:rRNA from 1 species
GAUGAACGCUGGCGGCGUGCCUAAUACAUGCAAGUCGAGCGAACAGACGAGGAUCUUGCUCCUCUGACGUUAGCCGCGGGCGGGUGAGUAACACGUGGAUCACCUACCUAUAAGACUGGGAUAACUUCGGGAAACCGGCGCUAAUACCGUAUAAUAUAUUGAACCGCAUGGUUCAAUAGUAAAAGUCGGUUUUGCUGUCACUUAUAGAUGGAUCCGCGCCGCAUUAGCUAGUUGGUAAGGUCACAGCUUACCAAGGCAACGCUGCGUAGACGACCGGAGAGAGGGAUAGGCCACAUGGGAACGGAGACAGGGACAAGACUACUAAGGGAGGGAGCAGUCGGGAACCUUCCGCAAUGGGCGAAAGCCUGACGGAGUAACGGCGAGUGAGUGAUGAAGGUCCUCGGAUCGUAAAACUCUGUUAUUAGUGAAGAACAAAUGUGUAAGGAACUAUGCCCGUAUUGACGGUACCGAAUCAGAAAGCCACGGCUAACUACGUG